UACAGAGGGUGCGAGCGUUGUUCGGAAUUAUUGGGCGUAAAGCGCUUGUAGGCGGCACGUCAAGUCGCGUGUGAAAUCCCCAGGCUUAACCUGGGAAGUGCGCGCGAAACUGACGAGCUUGAGUGCCGGAGAGGGUCGCGGAAUUCCCGGUGUAGAGGUGAAAUUCGUAGAUAUCGGGAGGAACACCAGUGGCGAAGGCGGCGACCUGGACGGACACUGACGCUGAGACGCGAAAG
rnacentral:rRNA from 1 species